rnacentral:rRNA from 1 species
GUGAUCCACCUGGGGAGUACGCUUGCAAGAGUGAAACUCUAAGGUAUUGACGGGGGCCCGCACAAGCGGUGGAGCAUGUGGUUUAAUUCGAUGAUACGCGAGGAACCUUACCUGGGCUUAAAUGCAGAACGACUAGUCUGGGAAACCGGCCCUUCUUCGGACGGACUGCAAGGUUCUGCAUGGUUGUCGUCAGCUCGUGCCGUGAGGUGUCGGCUUAAGUCCCAUAACGAGCGCAACCCCUAUCAAUAGUUGCCAGCGAGUUAUCUCGGGGACUCUAGUGAAACUGCCCGUGCAAGCGGUGAGGAAGGUGGGGAUGACGUCAAAUCAUCACGGCCCUUACGUCCAGGGCUACACACGUGCUACAAUGGCGCAUACAAAGGGCAGCUACCACGCGGGUGGAUGCUAAUCUCGAAAGUGCGUCUCAGUUCGGAUUGAAGUCUGCAACUCGACUUCAUGAAGCUGGAAUCGCUAGUAAUCGCGCAUCAGCCAUGGCGCGGUGUANACGUUCCCGGCCAUUGUANCACCGCCCGUCAAGCCAUG